rnacentral:rRNA from 1 species
GACGAACGCUGGCGGCGUGCUUAACACAUGCAAGUCGAACGGAAAGGCCUGCUUUCCCUUGUGGAUUGCGGGUACUCGAGUGGCGAACGGGUGAGUAACACGUGAGUGAUCUGCCCCCAACUUGGGUAUAAGCCUGGGAAACUGGGUCUAAUUCCCGAUAGGACUGCAGGGUGGUGCCUGUGGUGGAAAACGAUUUUCUAGUGGUUGGGGAUGAGCUCGCGGCCUAUCAGCUUGUUGGUGGGGUAAUGGCCUACCAAGGCGGCGACGGGUAGCCGGCCUGAGAGGGGGGACGGCCACAUUGGGACUGAGACACGGCCCAGACGCCUACGGGAGGCAGCAGUGGGGAAUAUUGCGCAAUGGGCGGAAGCCUGAUGCAGCGACGCCGCGUGGGGGAUGACGGCCUUCGGGUUGUAAACUCCUUUCGACCGCGAGGAAGCCACCUGGUUGGAAGGGUGGUGACGGUAGUGGUAGAAGAAGCACCGGCUAACUACGUG